UAAAAAUAUCCUAUCAGUCCUUUCUAAGAAGCCUGAAUUGACCAAAAAACAUCCCCACCACCACUUUAUAAAGUUGAUUCUGCUUUAUCCUGCAGUAUUGUUUAGCCAUCUUCUGCUCUUGGUAAGGUUGACAUAGUAUAUGUCAAUUUAAAAAAUAAAAGUCUGCUUUGUAAAUAGUAAUUUUACCCAGUGGUGCAUGUUUGAGCAAACAAAAAUGAUGAUUUAAGCACACUACUUAUUGCAUCAAAUAUGUACCACAGUAAGUAUAGUUUGCAAGCUUUCAACAGGUAAUAUGAUGUAAUUGGUUCCAUUAUAGUUUGAAGCUGUCACUGCUGCAUGUUUAUCUUGCCUAUGCUGCUGUAUCUUAUUCCUUCCACUGUUCAGAAGUCUAAUAUGGGAAGCCAUAUAUCAGUGGUAAAGUGAAGCAAAUUGUUCUACCAAGACCUCAUUCUUCAUGUCAUUAAGCAAUAGGUUGCAGCAAACAAGGAAGAGCUUCUUGCUUUUUAUUCUUCCAACCUUAAUUGAACACUCAAUGAUGAAAAGCCCGACUGUACAAACAUGUUGCAAGCUGCUUAAAUCUGUUUAAAAUAUAUGGUUAGAGUUUUCUAAGAAAAUAUAAAUACUGUAAAAAGUUCAUUUUAUUUUAUUUUUCAGCCUUUUGUACGUAAAAUGAGAAAUUAAAAGUAUCUUCAGGUGGAUGUCACAGUCACUAUUGUUAGUUUCUGUUCCUAGCACUUUUAAAUUGAAGCACUUCACAAAAUAAGAAGCAAGGACUAGGAUGCAGUGUAGGUUUCUGCUUUUUUAUUAGUACUGUAAACUUGCACACAUUUCAAUGUGAAACAAAUCUCAAACUGAGUUCAAUGUUUAUUUGCUUUCAAUAGUAAUGCCUUAUCAUUGAAAGAGGCUUAAAGAAAAAAAAAAUCAGCUGAUACUCUUGGCAUUGCUUGAAUCCAAUGUUUCCACCUAGUCUUUUUAUUCAGUAAUCAUCAGUCUUUUCCAAUGUUUGUUUACACAGAUAGAUCUUAUUGACCCAUAUGGCACUAGAACUGUAUCAGAUAUAAUAUGGGAUCCCAGCUUUUUUUCCUCUCCCACAAAACCAGGUAGUGAAGUUAUAUUACCAGUUACAGCAAAAUACUUUGUGUUUCACAAGCAACAAUAAAUGUAGAUUCUUUAUACUGAAGCUAUUGACUUGUAGUGUGUUGGUGAAAUGCAUGCAGGAAAAUGCUGUUACCAUAAAGAACGGUAAACCACAUUACAAUCAAGCCAAAAGAAUAAAGGUUUCGCUUUUGUUUUUGUAUUUAA
rnacentral:lncRNA from 1 species